AGCGUACACGGUGGAUGCCCUGGCAGUCAGAGGCGAUGAAGGGCGUGCUAAUCUGCGAUAAGCGCCGGUAAGGUGAUAUGAACCGUUAUAACCGGCGAUACCCGAAUGGGGAAACCCAGUGUGACUCGUCACACUAUCAUUAACUGAAUCCAUAGGUUAAUGAGGCGAACCGGGGGAACUGAAACAUCUAAGUACCCCGAGGAAAAGAAAUCAACCGAGAUUCCCCCAGUAGCGGCGAGCGAACGGGGAGGAGCCCAGAGCCUGAAUCAGCAUGUGUGUUAGUGGAAGCGUCUGGAAAGGCGCGCGAUACAGGGUGACAGCCCCGUACACAAAAGCGCAUGUGCUGUGAGCUCGAUGAGUAGGGCGGGACACGUGGUAUCCUGUCUGAAUAUGGGGGGACCAUCCUCCAAGGCUAAAUACUCCUGACUGACCGAUAGUGAACCAGUACCGUGAGGGAAAGGCGAAAAGAACCCCGGCGAGGGGAGUGAAAAAGAACCUGAAACCGUGUACGUACAAGCAGUGGGAGCACAGGUUUACCUGUGUGACUGCGUACCUUUUGUAUAAUGGGUCAGCGACUUAUAUUCUGUAGCAAGGUUAACCGAAUAGGGGAGCCGGAGGGAAACCGAGUCUUAAUUGGGCGUUAAGUUGCAGGGUAUAGACCCGAAACCCGGUGAUCUAGCCAUGGGCAGGUUGAAGGUUGGGUAACACUAACUGGAGGACCGAACCGACUAAUGUUGAAAAAUUAGCGGAUGACCUGUGGCUGGGGGUGAAAGGCCAAUCAAACCGGGAGAUAGCUGGUUCUCCCCGAAAGCUAUUUAGGUAGCGCCUCGUGAACUCAUCUCCGGGGGUAGAGCACUGUUUCGGCUAGGGGGCCAUCCCGGCUUACCAACCCGAUGCAAACUGCGAAUACCGGAGAAUGUUAUCACGGGAGACACACGGCGGGUGCUAACGUCCGUCGUGAAGAGGGAAACAACCCAGACCGCCAGCUAAGGUCCCAAAGUCAUGGUUAAGUGGGAAACGAUGUGGGAAGGCCCAGACAGCCAGGAUGUUGGCUUAGAAGCAGCCAUCAUUUAAAGAAAGCGUAAUAGCUCACUGGUCGAGUCGGCCUGCGCGGAAGAUGUAACGGGGCUAAACCAUGCACCGAAGCUGCGGCAGCGACGCUUAUGCGUUGUUGGGUAGGGGAGCGUUCUGUAAGCCUGCGAAGGUGGCCUGUGAGGGUUGCUGGAGGUAUCAGAAGUGCGAAUGCUGACAUAAGUAACGAUAAAGCGGGUGAAAAGCCCGCUCGCCGGAAGACCAAGGGUUCCUGUCCAACGUUAAUCGGGGCAGGGUGAGUCGACCCCUAAGGCGAGGCCGAAAGGCGUAGUCGAUGGGAAACGGGUUAAUAUUCCCGUACUUGGUGUUACUGCGAAGGGGGGACGGAGAAGGCUAUGUUGGCCGGGCGACGGUUGUCCCGGUUUAAGCGUGUAGGUGUGUGUUCCAGGUAAAUCCGGUUCACUUUAACACUGAGGCGUGAUGACGAGGCACUACGGUGCUGAAGCAACAAAUGCCCUGCUUCCAGGAAAAGCCUCUAAGCAUCAGGUAACAUCAAAUCGUACCCCAAACCGACACAGGUGGUCAGGUAGAGAAUACCAAGGCGCUUGAGAGAACUCGGGUGAAGGAACUAGGCAAAAUGGUGCCGUAACUUCGGGAGAAGGCACGCUGACACGUAGGUGAAGUGAUUUACUCAUGGAGCUGAAGUCAGUCGAAGAUACCAGCUGGCUGCAACUGUUUAUUAAAAACACAGCACUGUGCAAACACGAAAGUGGACGUAUACGGUGUGACGCCUGCCCGGUGCCGGAAGGUUAAUUGAUGGGGUCAGCGCAAGCGAAGCUCCUGAUCGAAGCCCCGGUAAACGGCGGCCGUAACUAUAACGGUCCUAAGGUAGCGAAAUUCCUUGUCGGGUAAGUUCCGACCUGCACGAAUGGCGUAAUGAUGGCCAGGCUGUCUCCACCCGAGACUCAGUGAAAUUGAACUCGCUGUGAAGAUGCAGUGUACCCGCGGCAAGACGGAAAGACCCCGUGAACCUUUACUAUAGCUUGACACUGAACAUUGAGCCUUGAUGUGUAGGAUAGGUGGGAGGCUUUGAAGUGUGGACGCCAGUCUGCAUGGAGCCGACCUUGAAAUACCACCCUUUAAUGUUUGAUGUUCUAACGUGGACCCGUAAUCCGGGUUGCGGACAGUGUCUGGUGGGUAGUUUGACUGGGGCGGUCUCCUCCUAAAGAGUAACGGAGGAGCACGAAGGUUGGCUAAUCCUGGUCGGACAUCAGGAGGUUAGUGCAAUGGCAUAAGCCAGCUUGACUGCGAGCGUGACGGCGCGAGCAGGUGCGAAAGCAGGUCAUAGUGAUCCGGUGGUUCUGAAUGGAAGGGCCAUCGCUCAACGGAUAAAAGGUACUCCGGGGAUAACAGGCUGAUACCGCCCAAGAGUUCAUAUCGACGGCGGUGUUUGGCACCUCGAUGUCGGCUCAUCACAUCCUGGGGCUGAAGUAGGUCCCAAGGGUAUGGCUGUUCGCCAUUUAAAGUGGUACGCGAGCUGGGUUUAGAACGUCGUGAGACAGUUCGGUCCCUAUCUGCCGUGGGCGCUGGAGAACUGAGGGGGGCUGCUCCUAGUACGAGAGGACCGGAGUGGACGCAUCACUGGUGUUCGGGUUGUCAUGCCAAUGGCACUGCCCGGUAGCUAAAUGCGGAAGAGAUAAGUGCUGAAAGCAUCUAAGCACGAAACUUGCCCCGAGAUGAGUUCU
rnacentral:rRNA from 1 species